rnacentral:misc_RNA from 1 species
GAGAGGGAGGAGAGAGAUGCUGGUUAGGUUGGGGGUGUUUUCAGGCCCAAGAGUCUGUCUGUUGACCCUUGACUGCUACCCAAAAUUAACCUAGUUGGUUUCAGUAAAUAGACUUUCUUGGUAAAAAAAUAUAUUCUUGUGGAAUAGAAGAGUUGAAUGUAGAACUGACCUUAUAGGGACUACCAAUUUUGCUUGAUGUUAGUAGCUGUUAACAUAUACAAGAGAGUAUUCCAUGGUGCAUGUUGUUUGCGGAUGAU